rnacentral:rRNA from 1 species
AACGAACGCUGGCGGCAUGCCUAACACAUGCAAGUCGAACGAGACCUUCGGGUCUAGUGGCGCAAGGGUGCGUAACGCGUGGGAACCUGCCCUUAGGUUCGGAAUAACUCCCCGAAAGGGGUGCUAAUACCGGAUAAUGUCUUCGGACCAAAGAUUUAUCGCCUUUGGAUGGGCCCGCGUUGGAUUAGCUAGUUGGUAGGGUAAAAGCCUACCAAGGCGACGAUCCAUAGCUGGUCUGGGAGGAUGAUCAGCCACACUGGGACUGAGACACGGCCCAGACUCCUACGGGAGGCAGCAGUGGGGAAUAUUGGACAAUGGGCGAAAGCCUGAUCCAGCAAUGCCGCGUGAGUGAUGAAGGCCUUAGGGUUGUAAAGCUCUUUUACCCGGGAUGAUAAUGACAGUACCGGGAGAAUAAGCUCCGGCUAACUCCGUG